UCCUACGGGGGGCAGCAGUGAGGAAUAUUGGUCAAUGGACGAGAGUCUGAACCAGCCAAGUAGCGUGAAGGAUGACUGCCCUAUGGGUUGUAAACUUCUUUUAUAUGGGAAUAAAAUGUUCCACGUGUGGGAUUUUGUAUGUACCAUAUGAAUAAGGAUCGGCUAACUCCGUGCCAGCAGCCGCGGUAAUACGGAGGAUCCGAGCGUUAUCCGGAUUUAUUGGGUUUAAAGGGAGCGUAGGUGGAUUGUUAAGUCAGUGGUGAAAUCCAUGGGCUUAACCCAUGAACUGCUAUUGAAACUGUCGG
rnacentral:rRNA from 1 species